rnacentral:rRNA from 1 species
GACUGGAACGCUAGCUACAGGCUUAACACAUGCAAGUCGGAGGGGCGAGCGAUGAAAGGAACUUCGGUUCUUUUUGAUGGCGACCGGCGCACGGGUGCGUAACGCGUAUCGAACCUGCCUCAUACUCGGGGAUAGCCUUGCGAAAGUAAGAUUAAUACCCGGCGGUCUCGGAUGGCCGCAUGACUGUCCGAGUGAAGAUUUAUCGGUAUGAGAUGGCGAUGCGUCCCAUUAGCUUGUUGGUGAGGUAAUGGCUCACCAAGGCAUCGAUGGGUAGGGGUUCUGAGAGGAAGGUCCCCCACAUUGGAACUGAGACAUGGUCCAA